ACAAAACUUUAGAAUUGCUACUUUUGAUCUCUCCCAAGGAUCCAUAGAUUGAAUCUUCAGCAGCAAGCAUGGGUGAAGAUCUCUUUUCAACUCCCAGGAGAUGCCUUUGCAGAGGAAAUUGAGACGAGUUGCCUGUCUUUGUUGGAGGAUUCUUCAGGAGGAUUCGCAAUGCCGGAAACAGGGUACAUGAGCUUAAUGCGCUUGUUAGGAUGAAUCGUCUCCAUAGCUUGGCUCUGGGCUACUGCAGAAAAGAUUUAACUAAAUCAAAACAUACGGUUGCCAAUUGACCAGUUUUUCUAUGUGAAAAUAUAGAAGAAUUACUGAUAUCUGGCAACCUUAUCAAGUGCCAGGGUGCCAACAAUUAACAAUAUUAUAAGAUAAAGAUGGAAGUCAAUUUGAUGGAGAAACCUUCUGAAAGUUUUGGAAGACACGUACAGAUCAUUAACUGGCGUUUCCUUAGUUCUGAGAAGCAUCCUUGAAGACAUAUGAGUAGGGAG